rnacentral:rRNA from 1 species
AUUGAACGCUGGCGGCAUGCCUUACACAUGCAAGUCGAACGGUAGAGGGGCAACCCUCGAGAGUGGCGAACGGGUGAGUAACGCAUCGGAACGUGCCCAGUAGUGGGGGAUAGCCCGGCGAAAGCCGGAUUAAUACCGCAUACGACCUACGGGUGAAAGCGGGGGAUCGCAAGACCUCGCGCUAUUGGAGCGGCCGAUGUCAGAUUAGGUAGUUGGUGGGGUAAAAGCCUACCAAGCCGACGAUCUGUAGCUGGUCUGAGAGGACGACCAGCCACACUGGGACUGAGACACGGCCCAGACUCCUACGGGAGGCAGCAGUGGGGAAUUUUGGACAAUGGACGCAAGUCUGAUCCAGCCAUGCCGCGUGCGGGAAGAAGGCCUUCGGGUUGUAAACCGCUUUUGUCAGGGAAGAAACGCUCUGAGCUAAUACCUCGGAGUAAUGACGGUACCUGAAGAAUAAGCACCGGCUAACUACGUGCCAGCAGCCGCAGUAAAAC